rnacentral:tRNA from 1 species
CAGUAGCUCAGCCUGGUAGAGCACCUGUUUGAAGAGCAGGGUGUCGGUGGUUCGAAUCCAUCCUGUUGCACCA